GUAGGGAAUAUUGGGCAAUGGAGGCAACUCUGACCCAGCCAUGCCGCGUGCAGGAUGACGGCCCUCUGGGUUGUAAACUGCUUUUAUACGGGAAGAAAAAAUACUACGUGUAGUAUACUGACGGUACCGUAAGAAUAAGGAUCGACUAACUCCGUGCCAGCAGCCGCGGUAAUACGGAGGAUCCAAGCGUUGUCCGGAUUUAUUGGGUUUAAAGGGUGCGUAGGCGGAUCUUUAAGUCAGUGGUGAAAGCCUGCAGCUUAACUGUAGAAUUGCCAUUGAAACUGAAGAUCUUGAAUGUGGUUAAAGUAGGCGGAAUGUAUCAUGUAGCGGUGAAAUGCUUAGAUAUGAUACAGAACACCGAUAGCGAAGGCAGCUUGCUGAACCAUUAUUGACGCUGAGGCACGAAAGCGUGGGGAGCGAACAGGAUUAGAAACCCUUGUAGUCC
rnacentral:rRNA from 1 species